GACAGCAAUAUGAAGGCCAGGCUGAAGACUUUGCCGGAUUAGCUGAGAGGUGGUGCAUGGCCGUCGUCAGUUCGUACUGUGAAGCAUCCUGUUAAGUCAGGCAACGAGCGAGACCCACGCCCACAGUUGCCAGCGUACCCUCUGGAGUGACGGGUACACUGUGGGGACCGCCGCUGCUAAAGCGGAGGAAGGAAUGGGCAACGGUAGGUCAGUAUGCCCCGAAUAUCCCGGGCUACACGCGAGCUACAAUGGUUGGUACAAUGGGUAUCUACCCCGAAAGGGGACGGGAAUCUCCUAAAACCAAUCUUAGUUCGGAUUGAGGGCUGCAACUCGCCCUCAUGAAGCUGGAAUCCGUAGUAAUCGCGUUUCAACAGAACGCGGUGAAUACGUCCCUGCUCCUU
rnacentral:rRNA from 1 species